rnacentral:rRNA from 1 species
AGAGUUUGAUCCUGGCUCAGAACAAACGCUGGCGGCGUGCAUAACACAUGCAAGUCUAACGGGAAAGUCGGCUUCGGCUGGCGAGUACCGUGGCGAACGGGUGAGUAACACGUGGGUAAUCUAACCUCGAGUUCGGGAUAACCUUGCGAAAGCGGGGCUAAUACCGGAUAAGACCACGCCCAGUCUGCUGGGUGCGGUAAAAGGUGGCCUCUUCCUGAAAGCUAUCACUUGAGGAUGAGCCCGCGGCCUAUUAGCUAGUUGGUGGGGUAAUGGCCCACCAAGGCGACGAUGGGUAGCCGGCCUGAGAGGGUGUACGGCCACACUGGCACUGAGACACGGGCCAGACUCCUACGGGAGGCAGCAGUGGGGAAUUUUGCGCAAUGGGGGAAACCCUGACGCAGCAACGCCGCGUGAGUGAUGAAGGCCUUCGGGUCGUAAAGCUCUUUUAGUGGGGAAGAAUCCCUUUCGGGCAAAUACCCCGGAAGGAUGACGGUACCCACAGAAAAAGUUCCGGCUAACUACGUGCCAGCAGCCGCGGUAAUACGUAGGGAGCAAGCGUUGUUCGGAAUUAUUGGGCGUAAAGAGCGCGUAGGCGGUUCGGUAAGUCUGACGUGAAAUCCCGGAGCUUAACUCCGGAACUGCGUUGGAUACUGCCGGGCUUGAGUGUGGGAGAGGUGAGUGGAAUUCCCAGUGUAGAGGUGAAAUUCGUAGAUAUUGGGAGGAACACCCGUGGCGAAGGCGGCUCACUGGACCACAACUGACGCUGAGGCGCGAAAGCUAGGGUAGCAAACGGGAUUAGAUACCCCGGUAGUCCUAGCCGUAAACGAUGGGCACUAGGUGUUGGAGGUAUCGACCCCUCCAGUGCCGCAGCUAACGCAUUAAGUGCCCCGCCUGGGGAGUACGGUCGCAAGACUAAAACUCAAAGGAAUUGACGG